GCCGGAGGAUGCAAGUGUUAUCCGGAAUCACUGGGCGGAAAGCGUCUGUAGGUGGUUUAAUAAGUCAACUGUUAAAUCUUGAGGCUCAACCUCAAAAUCGCAGUCGAAACUAUUAGGCUAGAGUAUAGUAGGGGUAAAGGGAAUUUCCAGUGGAGCGGUGAAAUGCGUAGAGAUUGGAAAGAACACCGAUGGCGAAGGCACUUUACUGGGCUAUUACUAACACUCAGAGACGAAAGCUAGGGUAGCAAAUGGG
rnacentral:rRNA from 1 species